rnacentral:rRNA from 1 species
ACCGUUGAGUGGGGGAUAAACUAGCCGAAAGGUUAGCUAAUACCGCAUACGUGCCCGAGGGGCAUCCCUUGGCCAUAAAAGGAGCAAUCCGCUCGAUGACGGGACCGGCUGUCCCAUUAGUCUAGAUGGUGGGGUAACUGGCCUAUCCAUGGCUCCGAUGGGUAGCCUGGUUUGAUGAGAGCGACCAGCCACACUGGGACUGAGACACGGUCCAAACU